rnacentral:misc_RNA from 1 species
AAGUCGUAACAAGGUUUCCGUAGGUGAACCUGCGGAAGGAUCAUUCUUGAUAAAUGUAGCAUUUGCUUCAUUAUUUAUGUGCACCGUUACCGUCCAUUUGGCGGCCGAAAGGCUGUCAAGUGGCUUAUUUAUUAAUCACCUUUUAAUUUCUUGUACCAGUAAACAAAACUUUAGACAACUUUUAGCAAUGGAUCUCUAGGCUCUC